GACGAACGCUGGCGGCGUGCCUAAUACAUGCAAGUUGAGCGCUGAAGGUUGGUACUUGUACCAACUGGAUGAGCAGCGAGCGGGUGAGUAACGCGUGGGGAAUCUGCCUUUGAGCGGGGGACAACAUUUGGAAACGAAUGCUAAUACCGCAUAAAAACUUUAAACACAAGUUUUAAGUUUGAAAGAUGCAAUUGCAUCACUCAAAGAUGAUCCCGCGUUGUAUUAGCUAGUUGGUGAGGUAAAGGCUCACCAAGGCGAUGAUACAUAGCCGACCUGAGAGGGUGAUCGGCCACAUUGGGACUGAGACACGGCCCAAACUCCUACGGGAGGCAGCAGUAGGGAAUCUUCGGCAAUGGACGAAAGUCUGACCGAGCAACGCCGCGUGAGUGAAGAAGGGUUUCGGAUCGUAAAACUCUGUUGGUAGAGAAGAACGUUGGUGAGAGUGGAAAGCUCAUCAAGUGACGGUAACUACCCAGAAAGGGACGGCUAACUACGUG
rnacentral:rRNA from 1 species